UACGGAGGGUGCAAGCGUUAUCCGGAUUCACUGGGUUUAAAGGGUGCGUAGGCGGGUAGUUAAGUCAGUGGUGAAAUCUCGGAGCUUAACUCCGAAACUGCCAUUGAUACUAUCUAUCUUGAAUAUUGUGGAGGUUUGCGGAAUAUGUCAUGUAGCGGUGAAAUGCUUAGAUAUGACAUAGAACACCUAUUGCGAAGGCAGCAGGCUACACAUAUAUUGACGCUGAGGCACGAAAGCGUGGGGAUCAAACAGGAUUAGAUACCCUGGUAGUCCACGCCCUAAACGAUGAUUACUCGACAUACGCGAUACACUGUGUGUGUCUGAGCGAAAGCAUUAAGUAAUCCACCUGGGAAGUACGUCCGCAAGGAUGAA
rnacentral:rRNA from 1 species